ensembl:lncRNA
GAAUAUGCUGCAUGCUGAUGCCCUCCAGGAGGAGGAGGAGGAGUUUGCUGGUGUGGCACAACCUGUGAGGUGUGGACCAUGUGUGGGGGCUGCUCUUUGCUCUGGUGAGGCACUUCAGUCAUCUCUUCAGACUGCUCUGCAGCUCUGAGAGUGCUGUGUGAGAUGGCACCAGAAGCCUCCCUAAGCGAAGAUAUAUGAUAUUCAUUGCCUCUCCACAAGGCUUAUUGCCCUGUCAUAGGAGGAAAUAAGCACAGAGCCUGAGGCACUACUAUGCAAGACACUACAAGCGAAACAUCCAGACCGCUGCUCAGCUCCUGCUUUCACCUAGGACCCAGCAGGUGCCUUCUGCUGAUCGCCCUCUGUCAGACACGACCAGCAGGAAGCAGGCCUUCUGCCAGGGACGUGCCCUCUGCCAACCCCCCUCACACACCGCCUCCUAAUCAAAUCCAUCAG